UACAGAGGUCUCAAGCGUUGUUCGGAUUCAUUGGGCGUAAAGGGUGCGUAGGCGGCGCGGUAAGUCGGGUGUGAAAUCUCGGAGCUUAACUCCGAAACUGCAUUCGAUACUGCCGUGCUUGAGGACUGGAGAGGAGACUGGAAUUUACGGUGUAGCGGUGAAAUGCGUAGAUAUCGUAAGGAAGACCAGUGGCGAAGGCGGGUCUCUGGACAGUUCCUGACGCUGAGGCGCGAAAGCCAGGGGAGCGAACGGG
rnacentral:rRNA from 1 species